AUUGAACGCUGGCGGCAGGCCUAACACAUGCAAGUCGAGCGAGCGGCGGACGGGUGAGUAAUGUAUGGGGACUGCCCGAUAGAGGGGGAUAAAUACUGGAAACGGUGGCUAAUACCGCAUCAUGGCGGAUAAACCAUUGUGGAUUAGAUAGUAGGUAAGGUAAUGGCGUACCCAGGCGACGCUCCCUAGCUGGUCUGAGAGGCUGAUCAGCCACACUGGAACUGAGACACGGCCCAGACUCCUACGGAGGCAGCAGUGGGGAAUAUUGCACAAUGGGCGCAAGCCUGAUGCAGCCAUGCCGCGUGUAUGAAGAAGGCCCUAGGGUUGUAAAGUACUUUCAUUCGGGAGGCGUUACCGACAGAAGAAGCACCGGCUAACUCCGUGCCAGCAGCCGCGGUAAUUC
rnacentral:rRNA from 1 species